AGCGUAGACGGCAAGGCAAGUCUGAUGUGAAAACCCAGGGCUUAACCCUGGGACUGCAUUGGAAACUGUCUGGCUCGAGUGCCGGAGAGGUAAGCGGAAUUCCUAGUGUAGCGGUGAAAUGCGUAGAUAUUAGGAGGAACACCAGUGGCGAAGGCGGCUUGCUGGACGAUGACUGACGUUGAGGCUCGAAAGCGUGGGGAGCAAACA
rnacentral:rRNA from 1 species